UUACCAAGAUCAAACUACAUGACUUCAAA
rnacentral:piRNA from 1 species